rnacentral:rRNA from 1 species
GAGUGGCGGACGGGUGAGUAACACGUGGGUAACCUACCCAUCAGAGGGGGAUAACACUUGGAAACAGGUGCUAAUACCGCAUAACAGUUUAUGCCGCAUGGCAUAAGAGUGAAAGGCGCUUUCGGGUGUCGCUGAUGGAUGGACCCGCGGUGCAUUAGCUAGUUGGUGAGGUAACGGCUCACCAAGGCCACGAUGCAUAGCCGACCUGAGAGGGUGAUCGGCCACACUGGGACUGAGACACGGCCCAGACUCCUACGGGAGGCAGCAGUAGGGAAUCUUCGGCAAUGGACGAAAGUCUGACCGAGCAACGCCGCGUGAGUGAAGAAGGUUUUCGGAUCGUAAAACUCUGUUGUUAGAGAAGAACAAGGACGUUAGUAACUGAACGUCCCCUGACGGUAUCUAACCAGAAAGCCACGGCUAACUACGUGCCAGCAGCCGCGGUAAUACGUAGGUGGCAAGCGUUGUCCGGAUUUAUUGGGCGUAAAGCGAGCGCAGGCGGUUUCUUAACUCUGAUGUGAAAGCCCCCGGCUCAACC